GUUUUGUGGGGUUGGAUAAUUAUAGUUGUGAUAUUUCAUUCAAAAAUUGGCUGAAAAUAGAAAAAAGAAAAAACUAUAUAUAGAAAAAGAAGAAAAAAAUGGAAAAAGAAAGGAAGUAUGACAAUACAUAUUCCUUUUGAAAGAAAAUAAAUAAAAUAAAAAGAUAAAAGAGAAGAGAAAUAACUAUAAGGUUGCUGUUUGAAAGUGAAUGAAGUUUUAUUUAUUUCAACUCCCGUAGUUUCAUUCAAUUUUCUUUUGACCCUUUGAAUUUUAGCCUAUUACCCAUUAGGAUUUAUCUUACCCUUACCUUGACCAAG
rnacentral:lncRNA from 1 species